rnacentral:rRNA from 1 species
GAUGAACGCUGGCGGCGUGCCUAAUACAUGCAAGUCGAGCGAACAGAUAAGGAGCUUGCUCCUUUGACGUUAGCGGCGGACGGGUGAGUAACACGUGGGUAACCUACCUAUAAGACUGGAAUAACUCCGGGAAACCGGGGCUAAUGCCGGAUAACAUUUAGAACCGCAUGGUUCUAAAGUGAAAGAUGGUUUUGCUAUCACUUAUAGAUGGACCCGCGCCGCAUUAGCUAGUUGGUAAGGUAACGGCUUACCAAGGCAACGAUACGUAGCCGACCUGAGAGGGUGAUCGGGCACAAUGGAACUGAGGCACGGUCCAGACUCCUACGGGAGGCAGCAGUUGGGAAUCUUCCGGAAAGGGGGAAAGCCUGGCGGAGCAACGGCGGGUGGGUGAUGAAGGUCUUCGGAUCGGAAAACUCUGUUAUUAGGGAAGAACAAAUGUGUAAGUAACUGUGCACGUCUUGACGGUACCUAAUCAGAAAGCCACGGCUAACUACGUG